UACGGGGGGAGCAAGCGUUGUUCGGAUUUACUGGGCGUAAAGGGCGCGUAGGCGGCCACCGCAAGUCGACUGUGAAAUCUCCGGGCUUAACCCGGAAAGGUCAGCCGAUACUGCGGGGCUAGAGUGCAGAAGGGGCAACUGGAAUUCUCGGUGUAGCGGUGAAAUGCGUAGAUAUCAAGCGGAACACCAGUGGCGAAGGCGAGUCCCUGGACAACUCCUGACACUGAGGCACGAAAGCUAGGGGAGCAAACAGG
rnacentral:rRNA from 1 species